rnacentral:rRNA from 1 species
AUUGAACGCUGGCGGCAGGCCUAACACAUGCAAGUCGAACGGCAGCACAGAAGAGCUUGCUCUUUGGGUGGCGAGUGGCGGACGGGUGAGUAAUGUCUGGGAAACUGCCCGAUGGAGGGGGAUAACUACUGGAAACGGUAGCUAAUACCGCAUAACGUCGCAAGACCAAAGUGGGGGACCUUCGGGCCCCACACCAUCGGAUGUGCCCAGAUGGGAUUAGCUAGUAGGUGGGGUAAUGGCUCACCUAGGCGACGAUCCCUAGCUGGUCUGAGAGGAUGACCAGCCACACUGGAACUGAGACACGGUCCAGACUCCUACGGGAGGCAGCAGUGGGGAAUAUUACACAAUGGGCGCAAGCCUGAUGCAGCCAUGCCGCGUGUAUGAAGAAGGCCUUCGGGUUGUAAAGUACUUUCAGCGGGGAGGAAGGCGGUGAGGUUAAUAACCUUGCCGAUUGACGUUACCCGCAGAAGAAGCACCGGCUAACUCCGUGCCAGCCGCCGCCGUAA